AAUAAAGCAUGUCAUUAAUGAAGGGGCAAACAUAAACUUUUAUUUGCACACAUCAGAAAUCUUUGGUUUUGAUUUUAGGCUCUCCCCAGACGUUAUGUGAGAAUCGCAAGCAAAACUUUGAAUAGCAAGCAAAGAUUUCUGACAUGCGCAAAUAAGUUUGUUUGUUUUGCAAAUAAUUUUUUAAAGUCAUGAGAUAAAAAAUUGUGAUUUCAGUUUAAAAAAAAAAUUUAAGUUAAACUUUUUUUGUUGAAAAAAAUGUUACAAUUCAAAAUGUCUUGAUCACAAUUUUAUAUUAUUUAAUUGAGGUUAGUAUUUUAAUUGAAUAAUUGUGAAACAAAUUGAACUCCAUAGGAGAGGUCUCAUUUUCUCUGAAAUUAAUAUUGUUAUGCUAUGGACUGAAAAACAUACUGGUUUAAACACUAGGGUAAAGAAUUGGUAGUGUGGUUUAUUAUAGUGUUCUGAUCAUAAUUCUUUGUUUUGCUUUUUUCAGUUCAAAGACGCCACGUAAAGAGAGACGUCAGAAACAAAAAAGAAAGAGUGGAUUGUUGACCAACUGGGUCAACUGUACCAAUCAUUCACAUUAAAAGGCAAGAGACUGAAAUAAAUAAGACUUCACUCAACACAGAGAAGAUGAGACAAUGAGGGAAAAAAGAAAAGAGAAACUGACAAGAAAAAAAGAAGAGGAAAGAUUGAAGAAAAUGUACAUAGUUCCACGUUAAAGUUUGAUGCAGCUCUGCUUUUCUGAAUGGACCGUCUUCAUCUCCACUGCAAGUACAGCAACCCAAGCAGAUGUUCUUUGAUUGUAUGUCUCACAAUUUUAUAAUCUAUCAUUGUUAAUUAAACUCUGAGAGCUGUG